UGGGGAAUUGUUCGCAAUGGGCGCAAGCCUGACGACGCAACGCCGCGUGGAGGAUGAAGACCUUCGGGUCGUAAACUCCUUUCGACCGAGAUGAAUACCUGCCGGCCUAACACGCCGGCAGGCUGACAGUAUCGAGGGAAGAAGCCCCGGCUAACUCCGUGCCAGCAGCCGCGGUAAUACGGGGGGGGCAAGCGUUGUUCGGAAUUACUGGGCGUAAAGGGUUCGUAGGUGGCUUGCUAAGUCAGACGUGAAAUCCCUCAGCUUAACUGGGGAACUGCGUCUGAGACUGGCGAGCUUGAGGGUAGGAGAGGAAUGCGGAAUUCCAGGUGUAGCGGUGAAAUGCGUAGAUAUCUGGAGGAACACCGGUGGCGAAGGCGGCAUUCUGGACUACAUCUGACACUGAUGAACGAAAGCCAGGGGAGCAAACGGGAUUAGAUACCCCGGUAGUCC
rnacentral:rRNA from 1 species